rnacentral:misc_RNA from 1 species
AACAAGGCGUACCUGCGGACCUGCGGAAGGAUCAUUACAAGUGACCCCGGUUUACCACCGGGAUGUUCAUAACCCUUUGUUGUCCGACUCUGUUGCCUCCGGGGCGACCCUGCCUUCGGGCGGGGGCUCCGGGUGGACACUUCAAACUCUUGCGUAACUUUGCAGUCUGAGUAAACUUAAUUAAUAAAUUAAAACUUUUAACAAUGGAUCU